AUGCUUGCUUUACUUUCCACAUUUUCAGAUAAAGAAUCAUGACUCGAAUUGACACUAAGCAGGUUACUUGCUUCACUAGUGGUAUGCUGUAAGCUGUCAUAUGCUUUUGCUCUAUUUUUAAAAGGUGAAAGUUCAUCCUCAUUGAUAGAAUUCUGACUUGUUGCAGUUUCAUGAAAGGUUUCAUCAGAAAAUCCGUUGCCCUUUGAUCCCAUACAAGCAAGUUUAAGAUGCAUACAAGAUGAACAAGGAGUGGAACACACGUUACAAGUCCCAGACUCUACCCUCG
rnacentral:misc_RNA from 1 species